AACAGUUUAUUUAUCUUCAAUUUUCCCAAAUCAAAGCUGGCACUGCUACCUUAAUCUACUUUUUUUUUUUUUUUUACAGGCAUUUAAAUUCUAAGGUGUCAUCUGGAAUUUGAGAGCCAUGCUCCAUUAACACUAAUGAGUGACUUUUGGUUAAAUCUUCAUGGAUCAGGCUGAACAUUUCCCUGUGUACUCAGUGGGAUGUGUAUGACCUUCACUGCAUCGUUGAAUGAUUGCCCAUCAGAAAAAAACAAAAAGUGAAGGGCAACUCGGCAAGAAACGUAUCCUUGGAAUUGGUACAUAUCCAUGAAAUCUUGUGAUGCAUCUAUGAGGUGGUUGGAAUGGAAUUGCAGGCAUUCCCAGUGAGUACCGAUCAGACCCUGGACAUCUGAAAAUUCUUCCCAGG
rnacentral:lncRNA from 1 species